GGAAUAUUGGGCAAUGGGCGCAAGCCUGACCCAGCGACGCCGCGUGAGGGAUGAAGGCCUUCGGGUUGUAAACCUCUUUCAGUAGGGAAGAAGCGAAAGUGACGGUACCUAAAGAAGAAGCACCGGCUAACUAUGUGCCAGCAGCCGCGGUAAUACAUAGGGUGCAAGCGUUGUCCGGAAUUAUUGGGCGUAAAGAGCUCGUAGGUCGUUUGCCGCGUCGAUUGUGAAAAUCUGAGGCUCAACCUCAGACCUGCAGUCGAUACGGGCAAACUAGAGUGUGGUAGGGGAGACUGGAAUUCCUGGUGUAGCGGUGGAAUGCGCAGAUAUCAGGAGGAACACCAAUGGCGAAGGCAGGUCUCUGGGCCAUAACUGACACUGAGGAGCGAAAGCGCGGGGAGCGAACAGGAUUAGAUACCCUGGUAGUCCGCGCCGUAAACGAUGGGCACUAGCUGUGAGAGCCUUCCACGGUUCUCGCGACGCAGCAAACGCAUUAAGUGCCCCGCCUGGGGAGUACGAUCGCAAGAUUAAAACUCAAAGGAAUUGACG
rnacentral:rRNA from 1 species